GGAUGGGGAGGAGGGUGCAGGUAGGGAGAUCAGUGACUGAGUUUAUGAACUUACUGGUGGAGCAGUCUCUAGUGAUGACGGGCGACUGGGGCAUGGCCUUGAGAGUGGUACCAAAAGACUGAGAUUCUUUCUCCCUGAAAGGUCUGUGAUGGUGCCUGUGUUGAAAAUGCUUUCAUGUUAGUUGUGUACACACAUUUCAUCUGUAUCCCUGUUUCUUUUCUCCCUACAGAAACAUAUGAGGAUUUUGAUACCAGGAUACUUGAGGUAAGAAAUGUUUUCACUAUGACUGCGAAAGAGGGAAGAAGGAAAUCGAUCCGUGUCCUGGUGGCUGUGGGGAACGGAAAAGGAGCUGCAGGUGAAUGGGGAGUGAUGGCAUCACAGUGGCGGUGGUGUGCAGGGAAAGGCGUGGCACGGGCCGUGCUGUGGAGCCCAUGGGCUCAUGCUGCUGGCCAGACUUUUUCCAUUGAUUAAACCUUUUAGUGGUUUGGGUUCACAAAGCUUGUGGUAAGUCCGUAACUUCCCUUAGAGAGAAAAGAGAGAAUAGAUUCUACUGUACUUGCCUUUUCCUCUGAGGAAAAGGAAUGUUAUAAAAGGCUGAAGACAUUAUUUUAUUAUGUAUAAUAGUGGAAAAUUAGGGAGAAAAACACU
rnacentral:sRNA from 1 species